GACAGAGGAGCCAAGCGUUGUCCGGAUUGACUGGGCGUAAAGCGCACGCAGGCGACCCGGCGCGUGGGGUGUGAAAGCUGGCGGCUUAACUGCCAGACGCCAUCCCAUACGGCUGGGCUCGAGCCCUGCAGAGGUCCAUGGAAUUGCCGGUGUAGUGGUGAAAUGCGUAGAGAUCGGCAGGAACACCCAGGGGGAAACCAGUGGACUGGGCAGGAGCUGACGCUCAGGUGCGAAAGCGUGGGGAGCGAACCGG
rnacentral:rRNA from 1 species